UGAGGAAAUCAAACAAAAGUUGAAGAGAUGGAAAUUAGUAGAAAAAAUAUUAAAAACUUAGAGGAUCAGUCUGGGACAUCUGACAUUCAAAUAACAGGGUGUCCAAAACAGAAAAUAGAAAACAAAGAAUAAAAUAUUUUUAAAUGCAAGAAAAAUGAACAGAAUUGGAUGACAGAAAACCCCUAGAUGGCAAGGACCCACUGAGUGCCCUUUGAAUAAAUGAAUGAAAAACAAACUGCCCAUCCAUGUUCAUCAUUAUGAAAUUUUGAAGCACCUAGGCUAAAAAGACUUUCCUAAAACUUGUGGAGAGAAAAGUUGGGGUUAAAUAAGAAUUGGAAUUUUGGACUUCUCAAUAGCAACAUCGGAUGCUAUAAUAGAAGACAAAAGUCUUCAAAAUUGUACAGGCAAAAUAUUUUCAAUUUAGAAUUUACACCAGCCAAAUAAUCAAGUGGGAGGGAGAAUAAAGACAUUUUCAGCAUGGAAGGACGCAAAGCACUCCCUCUCAGAAACCUUUUCUUUCUGAAAUGAAUAUGUGGUCCAGCAAACCACAAUCAAGAAAAACGUGACAGAAAACAGGGAUUUUAACACAGGAGAUGGGUGAAGGGAGUUCUAGGAUGGUAGGUGGGCAUUUGGAUUCAAGAACUAGCAGUUGAGGUGUAAGCAGGGAAAGUAAUGGAAGAAAGGUCCUAAGAGUACAAAAGGAAAUGAUAAUCAUCUUAUUAUCAUGCCAGAGCUUUUAGAGAAAAUAAGCCUCAGGGUUCCGAACAGCUGAUGAUACAUUUAGAAAUUUUUUAAGGUUCAAUAUAUAAAAAGCUAUGCAACAGAUAAAAAUAAGGCAAUUAUUAAUUUUUAAAAGUAUGUUUAAAAACAUAGUAUACUAGUUAGCCCUAGAAACUAUACUAAACUAUAUUUAUGUAGCCAUAAAAAUGUAAAUACUAUGAUUAUGAUUGCUAAAACAUCAAUGUGGGAGGACAGGAUAGUAGAGGGAGAGUUAAAUCCUCAUCUACCAUAAUUAGAAGUUAUUAAUGUCUAAAAUGAAAAAAUAAGAUGCACAUACUAUAUAAAGAUGGGACAUAUAUAUAUAUAUAUAUAUAUAUAUGUCUGAUAUAUAUAUAUCAGAAGAGUUAGCUCAAAGUUAAAAAUAUUUGCUUCUAUGGUUGGGGGGAAGUUUGAGGGUUAUAGCAUUUUGAUAUACUUUGAGUGUUUGCAUUACUUUGCUAGAAAUAUAUUUUUUAAAGCAAGUUCCCCCAACACCCUCUGCAAAAAAAAAAAAAUCAAUAUGGCAGAUUUCAGAAAUAGUGACCUUUCCUUACCCAUGCCAGUAGAAUCCAUCAACAAGAAUGAUCUAUCUAGUCAGUCUCAUGUCACAAAGAGAGUCUUAGGGAUGCUCUUCCUGGAGGAGUUCUAUAGUUAGAUAGAGGCUAGGAUGGAAUCCAUGUGUGGGCAAAUUACCUUGGUUCUCUAGUCUCUUGUUUCAUCUGUAAAACAGGCACAAUAAUAGUCCUAACCUCUUCAGGCUGCUGAAGACUGAACAGAUGAUCUAGGAAAUGUGCUUAGCAUAGUCUCUGGCUCAUGAGUUCUUAAUAAGAAGUACUUGAUAAUAUCACUGUUAGCAGCAUUCAUCAGUCUCAAGGUGGAAACCAUCAUACAUUUAAGAUCUGGAACUAGCAGAAUCCAGAGCUUUUGACUUCAGGUUCUGAUUUUAGCAUGUGCAGAUGGAUAAACUGAGUUGUAACCCCAUGCAUCUUAUAUCAAGAGGACCAGCCACUUGGGGAUCCUCAAGAAUAUAGGUGCCCUCUCCCCUCUCCAACCUGUUUUCCCAUCACCUCCUCCUAACUUUCAUUGGGGUUUAUUUCCAAAUUCUCCCACCAGGUAUCUUAAGUGUUUUCUCCACGUGGAAAUGCUUUUCAGUAAAAUGAAAAUGACUGAACUUUUUAUAAAGUGAAGUUCAGAGUAUCCCUUCUGGGACUCUAUUUUUUCCCUUGAAAUUCUAGAUCAAAAUAUCAAAAAGGCCAGAGUGGGGUCCAUAGAAGAGCAGAAGCAAUGAGUUGGAAGAACUUCUGUGCACCUCUAUUAGUCCCGCUACAUGGAAUCCUUAGGGUGUCAUAAUGAGGGACUCCAAUGAAAGAAUGAAAGAAUCUCUGAAGUGCUGAUUGGCUGUUUCUGGAACUUGGCCCAAGUUCCUACUACAGAUGUGACACGUCCACUUUUCUCAGAAUUCAAGUCUCCUGGUUGGUUUUUUUUUUCCUCAUCCAAGAAUCUAAGAAGAGUCCAUAAAGAAGGCUGACAACAAAUGAAUGGAGAAAACACAAGCCCCAAAGCCUGCAGCACAGCCAGGGACCCUCUGUGAGCUGAGUCUGUGAGUUAGGGACCAGCUGUCUUCUCCAUGAAGCCUGCCCUGAUUCUCCCCAGGGGGAAGGCUGGCCCCCUUUUCCAAACUCCCACUACAUUUUGUCCAAACGGUGUUGGAAGCCACUGGGACUCCCCAAGAACAAGAUCCAAGUUGAAGGCACCUUUUCCACCCCGGCCAGUGGACAUGGAAGGAGUGCCGCACACACCUGUCCUGACUGCAAGAGCAGCAGCUGCUGCACCAACCAGCCAUUUCCAGGUCAAGGGCGGGAAAGUCCUGCAGAGUCAGCCUCACAAGCACAAAUGACCUCUAAGAGUAUUGCAACUUCUGUACCAAGACAGCUACAUGCCUGGAUCAGAGCUGAGGAAACACAGGCCCAGAGGGAAAGUGGCUUUCCCAAUCCCACACAGCAAGGCAGAGAUGGAUCCAUCCAGCUCUCUCCUCCCAGCCAGGGCUUAGUGACAACACAGCUACAGGGGCAUGAGAUGCUCAGAGGCCUGGUCCUCUGGCUGGUGGAGCCUUGGAGGCAGUAGUGAAGAUCCCUGGAAGAGGGAGGCCAUGAAGAGGGAUGCAGAUACCUGGCAAGCCCACCUCCCUUCUAUGCCACCUGCCAGCCUUCUCUGACAUUCCCAAACCAGGGACCAACAUCGCCAAUCAGGGAAGAUUUACAUGCAUUUAAUUAUCCUGCACUGCUCGGAUGUCAGUCUCUACAUUCCUAACACAAAUGAGCAGAAGACAAAAUCAUUCGCAGGAUUCUGAAAUGAAGUUUUUCAGCGGAACACAGAGAAACAGUUAAAUUUUGCAAAGCUGUGAAACUGGAGAGGGGGCUGUCCUCCAGAUCUACCAACCAGAGACCUGGAAGGAAUUACUUGCAUGAGAUUCAUUUCUCUCUGUCUUUCUCUUUCUCCCCUCUCCCUGCCUAUCUGCACCAAACUCACCUGUCAAUUUCAUCAGCGAUACUUGAAUGGAUUUUCUAACCUGCCCCACUCCAAAUUGAUCAGUUAAUUAAGCUGAUCUCUACAAGAUUGUUAAAGAACCAGGUCCUUUUCCUUUCAUGUUAUGCAGUUCCAAGUAAACUCCCUUUACUCUGGUAUCCUUAUCAGAGGCACACAUCACAGGAAGUGGAGCAUUCCUUAUGAAUAUCUUAAUCUGCACACAAAUAGAUUUUUUUCAAUGUGAAUUUGGAUUUUUAAAACCACGCUUACUGCAAGUACAUUUUGCAGCCUCUUGUUUCCAGAUCAGAAUUGAGUGAUUUUCUAUUAUUUAUUUAUUGUCACUUUAAAAUAUGCACUUCUUGGGAUCAUGCAGAAUUGCUGUAUAUUUGCUUUGAAGAUUAGAAUAAAACUGGGAGAUAAUG